GACGUAGGUGGCGAACGUUAUCCGGAAUCAUUGGGCGUAAAGGGUGCGUAGAUGGCUUGAUAAGUUAGCAGUGGGAAAUCGAGGCUCAACCUCGUGGAAGCUGGUAAUACUGUCAGGCUCGAGUGCAGGAGAGGUUAACGGAACUCCAUGUGGAGCGGUAAAAUGUGUAGAUAUAUGGAAGAACAUCAAUAACGGCGAAGGCAGUUAACUAUUCUGUUACUGACGUUGAGGCACGAAAGCGUGGGGAGCAAACGG
rnacentral:rRNA from 1 species